GACGAACGCUGGCGGCGUGCUUAACACAUGCAAGUCGAACGGAAAGGCCUGCUUUCCCUUGUGGAUUGCGGGUGCUCGAGUGGCGAACGGGUGAGUAACACGUGAGUGAUCUGCCCCCAACUUGGGUAUAAGCCUGGGAAACUGGGUCUAAUUCCCGAUAGGACUGCAGGGUGGUGCCUGUGGUGGAAAACGAUUUUCUAGUGGUUGGGGAUGAGCUCGCGGCCUAUCAGCUUGUUGGUGGGGUAAUGGCCUACCAAGGCGGCGACGGGUAGCCGGCCUGAGAGGGUGGACGGCCACAUUGGGACUGAGAUACGGCCCAGACUCCUACGGGAGGCAGGAGUGGGGAAUAUUGGACAAUGGGCGGAAGCCUGAUGCAGCGACGCCGCGUGGGGGAUGACGGCCUUCGGGUUGUAAACUCCUUUCGACCGCGAGGAAGCCACCUGGUUGGAAGGGUGGUGACGGUAGUGGUAGAAGAAGCACCGGCUAACUACGUG
rnacentral:rRNA from 1 species